rnacentral:lncRNA from 1 species
UAGAUUUCCUUAUUGGAAAAGGCUGGGUUUGGAGGUGCGCUUCUCUACAUUGAUCCCUGUGAUGCAGCAGAGUCUUCAGUCCUUAGCUCUGAGCCUUUUGUGGUGACUCUGAAUCCAGGAGGAGACCCCUCUACACCUGGAUACCCCAGUCAUGGUAAGCUUGUUCUUGUACGUCUUCUAAAGAUAUGACUUGUAAGUGUAUACUCUCUAAUUUACUCAAUGAAUAUCACAUAGAAUAAGUCUAAGUGCUUCAUACACUCACUUUAAAAUGAAUAUUAUUUCAAAAGUAUGUACUAAUAAUCUGUUGGAACAAACCAUUUUUUAGAAAUCUAUAGUAGGUUUACAUUUCAGUGAUCUAUGCUAUGGACAUACAGCAAGCAUAUGUUAUCACAGAUUAAUUUGUACACACACACACACAAACACACACACACACACACAAACAAGCAAAUAUCUGGAAUUCUUGUUUGUCAUUGCAGCACUAGGCCUGUUUUGAUAGCUAUGAGUUCAGUGCUUAAGGUUAUAUUAUGUCAAGUUGAAUAGUAGUGGAGGAAGAUACUUGAAAGUAUGAAUUCUUAUGAUGAAGUUUCUUUAGAUUGGCCCAUUUCUAUGAGCUUACAGACAUGAUCUUUAUCUUAAGCAUCCUUCUGUAUUUUGGAAAGUUGUGUUAAACAAAGUGGGGAACAUGAGACAUGAGCAGGACAACUAUAGUUAUGGCAGAUGCCAGCAGAAUUCUUACAUUUCUGCCUGGUGUAUAAUUGGCAUAUACUCUGUCCACAGAGUUACGCUGAGGUGUCAGCUCUUUAAUCCCUUCUCGGGGCAAUGUCAACACACUGACCACAAUAAUUCAGCAUCACCACAGUAUGUACAGAAUCUGUGUUCUUUUCACCCACCAUUGCCUAAACACGUAUCUUUGUGGCCACUCUACAAGUAUCAAGGCAAUUUAAAUAACACUUAUAUAAUUUCACCAACCAAUAAAGAUUUUUCUAAACUAAUUCUUUCAUUUGUUUGUUGUUGUUGUUGUUUGCCUGUAUAUGGUGCUGACUUUAAUCUUGAAAUCAAGUCUGCAGUUACUUGCGUGUUCUUUAACUUUCUUCAUUUGGUAAUAUUCUCAAAGUACAUUAUUUUGUACUCUUGGCACUGAUUCUACCUAGUCAGCUUGUCAGGUAAUU